AAGUUCCCCGGCAACUAGCAGCAUCCACCGGGCGGGAGGUCGGAGGCAGCAAGGCCUUAAAGGCUACUGAGUGCGCCGGCCGUUCCGUGUCCAGAACGUCCCCUACUCCUCCGCCUUCUCUUCCUUGGCCGCCCACCGCCAAGUUCCGACUCCGGUUUUCGCCUUUGCAAAGCCUAAGGAGGAGGUUAGGAACAGCCGCGCCCCACUCCCUGCGGCCGCCGCCCCCUGCCUCUCGGCUCUGCUCCCUGCCGCGUGCGCCUGGGCCGUGCGCCCCGGCAGGCCCCAGCCAUGUCGAUGCUGCCGUCGUUUGGCUUUACGCAGGAGCAAGUGGCGUGCGUGUGCGAGGUUCUGCAGCAAGGCGGAAACCUGGAGCGCCUGGGCAGGUUCCUGUGGUCACUGCCCGCCUGCGACCACCUGCACAAGAACGAGAGCGUACUCAAGGCCAAGGCGGUGGUCGCCUUCCACCGCGGCAACUUCCGUGAGCUCUACAAGAUCCUGGAGAGCCACCAGUUCUCGCCUCACAACCACCCCAAACUGCAGCAACUGUGGCUGAAGGCGCAUUACGUGGAGGCCGAGAAGCUGCGCGGCCGACCCCUGGGCGCCGUGGGCAAAUAUCGGGUGCGCCGAAAAUUUCCACUGCCGCGCACCAUCUGGGACGGCGAGGAGACCAGCUACUGCUUCAAGGAGAAGUCGAGGGGUGUCCUGCGGGAGUGGUACGCGCACAAUCCCUACCCAUCGCCGCGUGAGAAGCGGGAGCUGGCCGAGGCCACCGGCCUCACCACCACCCAGGUCAGCAACUGGUUUAAGAACCGGAGGCAAAGAGACCGGGCCGCGGAGGCCAAGGAAAGGUACGCGGCGUGCUUCCCGCGACUCGGGCGACCCCAGGAAGCCGUCCUUUCUCCUCCGCCCCCUCCCGCCCCCGCAGGCACCAGCCACCAAGUCCUCCCCGCCGGCCGGAGCCCGUCCACGGGGCGGCGCGCAGGCCCUCCGCGGCGCUGCAGCGAAAGUUCAUGAACUCUGAGGUUCCUUGCUAAGGAUGGGGCCUCAUUUGCUUUGAGCACCCGCGCGUGGGUUUCUCUGGGAUGGAGAACACCGAAAACAAUAACUCCUCCUCCAACAAGCAGAACCAACUCUCUCCUCUGGAAGGGGGCAAGCCGCUCAUGUCCAGCUCAGAAGAGGAAUUCUCACCUCCCCAAAGUCCAGACCAGAACUCGGUCCUUCUGCUGCAGGGCAAUAUGGGCCACGCCAGGAGCUCAAACUAUUCUCUCCCGGGCUUAACAGCCUCGCAGCCCAGUCACGGCCUGCAGACCCACCAGCAUCAGCUCCAAGACUCUCUGCUCGGCCCCCUCACCUCCAGUCUGGUGGACUUGGGGUCCUAAGUGGGGAGGGACUGGGGCCUCGAAGGGAUUCCUGGAGCAGCAACCACUGCAGCGACUAGGGACACUUGUAAAUAGAAAUCAGGAACAUUUUUGCAGCUUGUUUCUGCAGUUCUUUGCGCAUAAAGGAAUGGUGGACUUUCACAAAUAUCUUUUUAAAAAUCAAAACCAACAGCGAUCUCAAGCUUAAUCUCCUCUUCUCUCCAACUCUUUCCACUUUUGCAUUUUCCUUCCCAAUGCAGAGAUCAGGGGGAAAAAAAAAAAAAACCCAAACAAACAAAAGCACCCAGGCACCCAGUCUGAGUUCUGGGCAACUGAUACGCCUGUUUCAGCAGCCUUUCUUUUUUUUCAAUGAAUGGGAAUUGCAAAUCAACUGGAUUUUCAUUAUUUCUUUUAAUUUAUAUAUGGAGAAAUGUGAAGAGGGAAAGGAAAUGGAAAGAGAAAGAGAAAGGGAGAUAAAAAUAGUGAAAAUAAGAGCCUCCAGGCUCAGAAGAACUGAUUACAUUCUUAAGGUGAACAGGAAAAAUACAAUCUAUAACUUUCUUUGAUGAGGAAAAAUUAAGUUUACAUUUUUCAUAUUUAGUGUUAAACAAUUUAAUGUAGAUUAAAAUAAAAGACCAGUAUUAGGAGGAAAAAACAAGUGCCUAAAUGUCUUAAUGCUCUCUAUGUGAGACAGAAAUAGACGUGACCAUUAGUAAUGCAACUAUUUUUGUCAAAUUUAGUGGGAUUUUUUGGUUGUUGUUUGUUUUCUUGGGUUUUUUUUUUUUUAAUGACAAACUCUAAAAAUGUACCAAUGUGAAAAAACACUUUCCUGAAUGCCAUUACUCAUGCCCUCAAAGCUUUCAUAUCUGUAGCCUACUCCUGUAAAGGGUUUCUCCUGUUUCUAGUUUCUAGUUUGCAAAGGUAUGCCAACGAAUCUGGCAACCUGGUAUUUGUUACUAAAACAGCAUGUGUUUUCAGGUUUCUUUUCUAUUGUACCUAAAGCAGUCUAAAUUAAAACUUAGUAGAACACCAGGAGUAUGAUUCUGUUUCUGAAAGGUGAGUGGUGUAUUGCUGUCAUUGGGCCCUUUUUUUUUUUUUUAAAUAUAUUUUUCUUUCUUACUUAAUGGUGGCUGUGAAUUGCAGGGUACUUUGAAGGCCAUCAUCUGAACCAAGAGUAGUAACUAGAUUAAUUAUAUGACAGAAAGAGUGAAUUUAGCCUUGGGGUAUUUAUUAACUUCUAUUAUUUAGAUAUGCAAUUUUGUUUACCACUAUCUCUUCACAGCAUUCAUAUGUUAACUAAACUCUUUUGUGUUAACAAGUUUAUGACAAGACUGUGAAAGUAAAAAUAAUUUAUCUGCUUGAAGACAAAAAAGGGAAGGAGAACAAGGAUAGAAACAUUGUGAAUUAAUUUGUACAAAUAGAAAGCAGACCAGCAGGACAGGAGCUCUUUUGCAGUGCUGCCGGAUGGUGUCUAGAAAAAUCCCAGUAAUCAUGUAGGCUCCAUAUUAUUUUUGCCUGGGGCAAAAUGAUGUAUCUUCUGUAUUUAGCUUUUAAAAUUAGUGAAACAAAUGGCAUUAUUUAUUAAAAUUCUACUCAGGAUAACA